rnacentral:lncRNA from 1 species
GGGAGGCUGGGGGACAGGGGCAUGGGAGCAUGGCAGAUGGUGUGGGGGAUGGGGAGGUGGGUGAACUUGGAAACUAAGGAAGCUCUGGUAAAGACCAAAGGCUCCACUUAAUGCUACUACUACAACUUGGUAGAGAGAGACGGGGGGGAGAAGAAGAUGGAAAGCAAGGAAGAUUUGGAGGAAGACUCUGUGGAGAGAUAAGAAGAAGGUUGGCGAAGAGACUAGAGGGUAAAACAGUAGUGUAACAGUAGAAGAUGGAAACAUAUAUUUAUUUUGGUUAGCUCCUCAAGCUUUGGUUUUCUACUCUAGUUGUAGGAGUAAUUUUUCUUUCUUCCAUUCCAUCCAUCGAGUUUGAGAGAGAGAGACAAAGGGGCUGGUUGGGGCCUGGGGGAGGAGGAGUCAAGUAAUGGUUAGCAGCAGCACCUCCCCCGACCGAGUGGAUUUGACAAGGACAUGGGCGGUUUAUUUCCCAGGGUGGGGUGGGGUGGGGGCUGAAACUUGAAGAAAGAAUGAUGUGGCUUGUUUGGUUUUCUUUCUUUUUUGCCCUUUCUUCUUGCUUUGCUGUGCACGCUCUUGUUGCUGCUCAUCAUCUUUUAUGUCAAAAAUCUAUCAUCAUCAUCCUCGAUGUAUCCAUCAUCUUCCUAUCUCUCUCUCUAGAGUGAUCUAUUUGUCACCUUAUUAUAUGCUCCCAACAAAAUAUUUUUCUUUUUUGUUGAUAGAGAUAUAUGUAUAUGCAAGGAAGGAAGGAAGGAUGUAGGCUUUCUCAUCCCUCUACUGUGUGUUUGUCUUGUUUGGGAUGGCAAAAGCAAAUUCAAAGACUCAUUGCUGCUGCUCGCAUCCUUUGACGAGAAGCCCUUUGCUCAAUUUGCACCAUCCGUCUCGCUUUUUGUUUUUUAGCUGCUUCUGCUCUUUUUUCUUCUUUUGGUAAAAAAAUAACUCAUCUAAGUCUAAGGUAGUAGUAGUAGUACUACUUAGUAUUUUCCAGGACCAAGGGGCAGCAACAAAACAAUCAAUGCUGCUGCUGCUCAAAAUUUGGGCCAUUGCAUAAACUUGUGGUUGGGAUCCAAUUGGGUAUCAAAACUAAUCUCAAUUUCGCGUUUUUGAACUACACUAUCAUAUUGGUUCUUGUUUAUCAAAAAUUGAACCUGAGGACAUUAAUUGACAAUUUCUCAUUCAGUAGUUUAUGCGCCCAAGUCUUUACCAACCCAAUCAGAAUCCACACAAAAGCACUUCUGAGUUCAAACAAAUACUACUACUAUAGAGCUAUCUUCACGGGCUUCACCGUGCGUGCAUGGUAGUGUGUCUUGAGCCCACCAUAUCCUUCGUUCUUUUUUUUUUUUUUUUGGUUGGGGAUGCUAUAGAAUUUAUUCUAGACUUAUUUCUAUUCUAUACCCUAGAGGAGGGAGGGGACUUAAAGAGUACAAAGAAAAUUCGAAAGGGAUUAAAUCUUUGUAUGAAUUCUAUAACAGAUUUGAUGAUAUAUAAAAAAUGAUUUGAAAAUGUGUUCACGAAAAAAACGUACUCUCUGAAAAAUUAUAAGUCAAACACACCAUAAACCACCACCGAUCAAGACGACGGGUAACUAUGCAGCAUAUCCAUCCUGUGUUUUAGCGGCAGUAUCAAUAUCAUUUAUGCUGCUGUUUCAACUCUGUGUGCGCAAGGACGGCUCCUAAAUUGUUUUCUUUCUUGUUUCCCCGAACUUUCUUUCUUUCUUUCCAUUAAAGCUUAAUUGCAAGCGGUGACAUUUUGGACGGAGUUCAAAGCUUGCAAUCAUUUGGUGCAUGCUAACGUGUAGAUUCAGUUUUUUUUUUUCUCUUAUAAGAAAGUCAAAAAGGGUUGGUGAUACACUUUUCUUCAAUUUUGAAUUAAUGUGACGGUGAGAGGCUCCAAUUUCGACUGCUAUUUACUAGUAGUGAUUUACGGGUUUGAAUUUUUAGAUAGUAUUCCAUUUUGAACUAGGACAAAACCUCUAAACAUUUGAAAGUAUGCACUUUCAGGAUAAGUAGUAGAAUGUUUCUAAAAUUAAUUCAGAGAUUAGGUUAAUAUUAGAGUGACAGAAUAGAACAUUAAAUUAUAUUAUCAAUGGUUUAUUACGACGCCUUGUAAUCUUGAUGAUAUUUUCCUUCCAACUAAUGAUAUGUAUGUUUGAAUUUACAAGCUACAAUUACUAGGUCGAGUAUUUAGGUUGGCACCACACAUAUAUCCGAAGUGCUAGUUGUAAUAGAUCUCAGAGAGGAGGAGGAAGGAGAGGGAUGGAGUGAUGACGAUGAUGGCUGUGAGUGAUGUGUUAAUUUUUUUUAAAAAAAUAUUUUUAAAUUUUAAAAGUAUAUCAAAGUAUAUCCCAAAAACAUUUAUUGUAAAAGUUUUUUCUAUACAUAAUAUUUAAUUGUUACAAUAAAAUAUUUCAAAAGCACCGGAAAACAGCUAAUCCAAACGAAGCCAUUCGGUGGGUAUGCAUAGAAGUUAAGCGGCAUUUGCUUAAUUUGAUCUAAAGAAAAAUACAUAGAGACCUCACAAUACAAAUCAAAAGGCAGACAAAGGAUGUAAGAUGCAAAUCUUGAUCAGCAUGCAUGGUCGCAGUCCAAUUCAUGCGGAUUGAACAUGAAAUGCAUGAAGAAAAAGGAAUAGAAACAAAAGAUGAAUAAUUAAGUAGAACCGUAGUAAUUAUGCAAGUCUGCUGCCAAUAAUAAUGUGUCGACCUUUCCUGUGAUGAAGUUUUGAAUCAACAGUUGCAAUUUGUCCGGCUUCGGCUUGGUAUUUUUUCAGGGAGGAGGAGGGUUAAUACAAAUGUAUGGUUGUUGUACUUUUUACCUGAUUUAGUAUAUAUUUUUGUUACACACGUAAUUUUGUUCCUAUAUAUCAACUCAAUAAGUUAAUAAAAUUAUGAUUGUAAAUGUACAACAUCUAAUCUACUUAAAGAAGUUUUACCAAUUGGAUGAAAAUCCCAAUCGUACUUCCCCUUCUUUAAGAUUUUCCCGUGAGAGUUUUUGCCACUCUUUGCUAGUAGUUUCACAGUAAGGCGGGCCCAAAAUGUCUGAGCUUGAGCGCAAAAAGUAGUAGUAGUACAUACUUAAAGCUACAAUUUCUUAUUUUCUAACAAUUUUUUGCAAAGCAACUAGUUUCGUUCUUAUUUUUUAUAUAUCUAUUUUGGAUAGGCGUGGGUUUUCAAAAUUCUCAAACAGUUUUCACUAUUUCUUUUUUUUUUAAAAAAAAAAAAAAUUCUUACAGACACACUUAUAUAUUUAAAAAUGCGCUACAAUAAAAUUUUUUCUAAAAUUAAAAAUAAAAAACGAAAACAACUACCCAAAUGGACAAAUUUUGUAAAAUAAAAUUUCAGUCAAAUCGAACAAAAUGCAGAUGAGUAAUUAUUGAGUUUUCCUAAAUAUAUAACACAAAACUUUUAAUAUUCUUGAGUUUCCAUUCGUUUGAGUAUUAACAGCUUUACGACUAGUUUGGGAGAUAAGAUUUGAACAGAAAAAAAAAAAAGAAGGGAAAAAAAAAGUUAGGUGUUUCGAAUGUUUAAGAAGCCGAUUUGAUUUAGGACGAUGGAGAUGCCCUCUACAAUUUAAAAAAAAUUUCCAUCCAAAAUCAUGCAGAAAAUGAAGGAAAGUUGGGGGAAGCCUAAAAAAUUUUUAAAUUGUGCAUUCUAUCUUUAAAAUGCUAUUGAAUGAAAUUUUAUUGACAUAUAUGUUUAUAAUCAUCUCUUUUCUUUUACAAACUCACAAAUAUCAUUAAAAUCUCUUCUCUUCUUUUCUUAUCCUCUCUUUUCCUUAUAAGCCUUUCUCUUAUUUUCUUUUCUAUCCUCAACAUCCAAACUAACUAUCUGUAAAAGUUUUUCAUUUAUCAUUUGAAAUUUAAUUGCCCUUUGAAUUAGUAGUAAUAGCUUCCUUUACAAUUUUUAUUGCAUCCAUGUUGCAAACAAAAAAGCCCCCAAGCGGAUACUUCGCUGGUUAGCUAUUUGGGUCCUUGACUAGGGGUCAAUGUUUCGAUUCCACUUAUUACGUAUGGUUAGAGCUGUUAAGUCAAUCGAAUAACUCGAAAGCUUGUUAGAGCUCGACUCGUUAAGACUCGAGCUCGAAACAUGCUCGUUUAGUUAACGAGCGAGUAAAUACUCGAGUAGCUCGUUAGAGCUCGUUAAUGAAGGGCAAAAUUAUAAAAAUUAAAAAUUAUAGGUUUUUAUUAAGGUUAAUUUGCACGAGCUCGAGCUCGUGAAGCUCGACUCGUUUGUGAUAAACGAGUUGAGCUCGAGCUCGAGCUCGAGCCACAUGUACAUUUAACGAGUCGAGUUCGAACACAUUUUAAAGCUCGUUUUCCUAACUAGCUCGAGUCGAGCUCGGCUCGAAUUAAACUCGAGUCGAGCUCGGCAGUCAAAUACUCAGUUCGACUCGGCUCGAUUAACAGCUCUACGUAUGGUACAUCUUUGGGCGAGCUCUGCAUCAUCGCAGGGACUAGUCUGAUGUAAGUCAAGAUACCCUUGUGUUUGACAAAAAAAAAAAAAAAAAAUGUUGCAAACAAAAAGGUCAAAAGAUGCCACUUUAACUGUAGCCUAGAAGUAAUAGGCUUCCAAAAAAGUUGGUGGAUUCCCGGUAACUAUGCCCUUGAUGUUCUUUAUUGCUUUCCUCUUUUUACUUCUUUCACCAAAGCACCAUGGAGCCUCUCUUUGUGCAAAUAGUCGAGCCUGUUACUCAAAUUUUAGGAAAGCGCGGUCUCAAAGUUGAAUCCAUCAAAGAGAAGGCAAAUCAAAUGCACCGCCCAUGACACAGAUACGCGAAGCUUCUGUUAUUCUCGCUUCUCAGGAAAAAGCCAAAGCAAAUUCUGUGUUUGUCUUUUAGUAGUUUUUUUAACUACUGGGUCAUUUGGAAGAUACUAAUGAUGAGCCUUCAUAAUGCUCUUCUAAACAUAGAUCAGAUUUCCCUUAAUAAUUCUUGCAACGUGCUGAUUAUGCAUGUUAAAUCCUUAGACUGAUCACUUGAUCAUUCUAACUAAGAAGUCAAUUCAAAAAUGCAAUCUGCCCAAAACUCCGAGUCAGAUGGAAGUGAGGAAAUGGAAUUGAGUGGAAUAUAACUCCUAAAUUCACAGAUUAUAGAUGAUUUUUGUUUAACCACUUUGAGCCCACCUAGUUACAAGUUAUAUGUCAACAAUGACACUUUUGGUUUAGUGGUUAAAAUUGAGAUCUCAGAACUUAAAAAGAUUCUCGAGUUCUAAUCUCCUCUCCGCUUCUUAAAUUUCACCCCAUUUCGAUUAAGAAGGGAAAUAAUAUACUAGUAUUUUUUAUGAAGUUACAUGUGUACGUAACUCUUUAAGAUUACUGAGCGAGGGCCUCGUUCCCUUUCCUUCUCUCACCCUUUCCAUCUCUCAAAUUCUGGUUUUUCUAAAUUUGGAAAAAAAGCGAAAGUAGCCUGAGUAUCUAAGAAAAUUUUGGAAAAUAGCAAAGGUCCAUGGUGUGUUUAACUUUUUAAGAUUUCAAGUCCCUGUUUGCAUGUGCAUGGAGCCCUUGAUCACAGAGUCUACUUUUCUAACUUUGAGCUUCAUUUACUCUUAAGCUUCAUUUGCACGAACUUAAAAAUUCAAAACAAAAGAAAUUGCGCUUUAUGAUCACACUUCAUCUCAUUCGUAAACGACACGAAGUUGCAUAUUAAAAAUCAAUUGAAACUGGAAAUAGAUCACAAAACACUCUCGAUUGCAAUUGAAUUUAGAGAGCAUGCAGAACCAAAAAACAUAACACGUGCACAAAGGCAAUGCUCUGAGCUUGGGCACGUCAGGGGAGCAUUUUAGGUGCCUCAGGCUUGGGAAGUCAGGGCUUGCAAAAGGGGUAACUCAGGCUUCGGAAGGGUUGGUAAUUGAGGCAAUGCUGCUGGUAGUUCAGGCUCAGGAAAAUUCGGUUUUGACAGGGCUGGGAUAUCAGGCAAAAGGGGGAAACUCAGGAUUUGGCAGUUGAGGCUCAGGUAAAGUUGGCAAGUCAGGUAGGUUCAGGCAAAGUUGGAAAUGUAGGAAGAGAUGGGAAUUGGGGUUUGGGAAGCUCAGGCAUCGCAGGCAAAGUUGGAGGAUCCAACAGGCAGCUAAUAUUUACUUCGAAGCUACUCAUUGCAGAGAAUGUAAGCAGGAGGAAAAGAAGAAGCAAAGCAAAAGAGCUCUGAUAACUUGCCAUGUCUCUUUUACUUUUGCGCAGCUGUUUAUAACUUUGAAGAAGAAUAAAGUAAUUCCGUAGAAUGCGAUACUUGUAAAAAGCAUUCUUUUGGAAUUUAUGGCCAGAUGCGGCUCAAAGAGUCCGGCAGUGGACUACUACUAUGAUAGGAAGGAGAAAAAUAUGAGAGGGUAGUCAGGAAAAUGCACGGAGUUUUUCAAGUAAGUUAGUUGAACUUCUCCAAACUAUUUCUUCACAGAAUAACCACAGCCUACUCUGUACGACUCCUAUCCCUUCGAAAUUUCUUUUGGAAUAUUAUAAGCUGCUUCAUAUUCAUAAAUUGCACAGUGAUUAAUCCCAGGCCACUUUAAGUUUAAGAUAGGGAAUUGAUAUUCGCAUUCCCUAUUUAAUUUCCUGCGCUCCGAUUCACCACUAAAAAUAUAUAGUUGCUACUAGAGACCUAACUGAAGAGUGCAAAUACCAGAAAGAAGUGAAAAAUCACUCACUCCAGUAUCAUAUGAUCGACUCUCUAUCACAAUUACAUGGAAAUUGAGAAGCAGAAAGGAUAAUAAAAGAACGAAAAAUUACGUCUCAGACAAGGGCUCUUCUAUCAUAUGCGAGCAACAUAGGAAUUAGCCUGGGUUACGUAUCUCACCCAUCUAUACGGAUUGUAAGUUUUGGAUUUUUGGCUAUCUGCAAGUAUUUCACCUGCAUCAGAGAAUUCUGAGUAUUAGUCAACUGCAAGAAGAAUGACAAUUCAUCCGGAAGGGAUCCAAAGAGGAAAUAAGAAGAAUCAAUAACGGCCUUUAGAUUACUAAGAAGUAUUAAUAUUGUUACCUGGAGCCUAGAAGGAUUGUACAUUGGUACGGUGAAGGUCAUGCUCACAGGUCCAGCCCCUUUGUGAUAUUCCCUGCAUCAAUCAGCACCAUUGGGAUCAAUAUAGCAAUGAAUGAGGAAAUAUCUAACACACAGAACUAAGAAUCAUCUCCCAAAAGUUCAAGAAUCUUCUAGCGUACCAUGUAAUUCUUGCGAAAAAGUCAGCUUAGCACGCAGUGUAUGUUCUGAUCCACCGAUGAUCUGCAGAUAUUGUAUCAAUCAGCAACACUUGCCAGAUAAUUAAGUUACAAUACACUUCAGCAAACUGAAUAUAUGAGUUUUAAGCAUGUUGAAAGUCAGGAAUGCUUGGAAGAAAACGUUGCCUUCUUUCAAACUCCACUCCAGUCUCCUAUUUGAUUCCUUGAAAUCAGUUGUCUGUCCAACGGCUCCAGGUUCCAACUCAAAACUAACUCUGAAUGAAGGAUAGAAAAGAAGUUAGCAUCCAACACCAAACAAUUUAUAGUGCACCUUAUUGGUUAAUACACUCGCGUUGCCAGACUUUAGCCUUUUGAUCUAAAGCAGAUGUGCAAUAAAAGUCUAACUAAGCCGACCAAGAACAAUGCAUAUCAUAAACUGGUUGUUGUAAGCUUAAACGAGAUUCCCUACCCUCUAAUCAGCAGGAUCUAUCACUCCGAAUAAAGUAAAUAAAAGUGGAGAAGGGGGGAUAAAAGAGGGAGAGACAAGUUGAUGCAAGCUUUUGUUCGAGAUAAUUAACGGAGAGGUAAAGUGCGAUGUCUUGUUUCCUUGUGAUUGUGAAAGCAGCCUAAGGCUAAGAGAAUGAAUGCCCCGCAAGAAAGAGUCCUCCAACCUCACAAAUUCUCGAGCCUAUCUGAUAUAUAGCACGGUGGUCAAAGGCCCGCUAAAGACAGGGAUUAGAUUCUCACCAUGCCCAUCACUAUUCCUGCUUUCUCCGCUCUAGUCUAACUUAUAACUAAUCCCAUCCCACUUCUCCACUCUAGCUGAUUUCCUCAGUAUCCGCAAUCCUCUCCACCUAAACUUCUCUCUCAUGCAGAAGAGAAAAUGAUCUCGUAUGGCAAUUAUUUUUGCAAGUUCUAUACUCCUACAUUCUUCUGCAACACCCCCCCCCCCCACUAACAACACACAAAAAAAACCCAAAAAAAAAAAAAAAAAAAACGAAGAAGAAGCUGUUUUUGUUAACUCGCACAAAACGAGGUGCAACUCACUUCAGACAAGGAAAAUAUUCCAAACUUACCUUGUGGUGUAUUUAGGCAAUGGCAUCUGCACUACAAUUGUAUUUGCAGUAAUGCUUGAAGGAAACUCAGCACGGAUUUUCAACAUAACUUCAGCCUGAAGAAACAGAAAGAUGGAGAAUUUACAGCUGAUCAGAAGCACAAUCUCACAGUCCAAUUCUGGCCAGUAGGAUUGCUCCUUUUUUUUUUUUUGAGUAAGCAGUUGCUCCAAUUUUAAGGAAAAAUGCAUGGAAACAAGAUUUGUAGACACUACCUAACAAGUCUAACAACUUAAGAUAUAAUACAAGUUAAAAGGAAAGCUUAUACGGAUUUAAACAUCAAGUUCCAGGAAACAGAAAUCUACCCUAAGCUGUCCAGCUUCUUCAAUUAAUGUGUUAAUACGGAAAGGAGGCUUAAAUUCCUGAGUUAUACGGUAAUUCAUGACUGGAAAUUCACCGUCUGGUGGAACCUGAUCAAACAAAAAGGACAAAGCAACCAAUUCAGACAAAAUGGAUUCUCGUAAGGAACCAAAACCGAUACAGUUCGCGAUCGUCUCGUAUCAUUCACCAGACUUAGGGUCCUGUCCACAUCAAAACUAUCCAGAUGUACAGACUCAUGGAAAUUGCAGUCAUCCAGUAUUACAGCACCUGAACCUGACGAACCCCCAUAAUCUGACACAGAACAUAAAGUUUGAUGAGGUAGUGUCCUCCGAUACAAUGCAGUAUAGGACACUUCUGAGAGUCUGGGAAAAGGAAGCCUUAAAAGAAACAUUACAAUACAUGCACAGUAUACGAUAAAAGAUCUAUUGAAUCAUUGUAUGGGACUUUUAGAUUGAGAACAGGUUAAAGAACGAAUCAUAGAAGUUUAGAAAUAUAUAUGUAGACAAGCAAUUUGAAAUACCAUAUAUUGACCUCCCGCCUCUUCCAAUGGUUAGCUCAUCAGUAAGAGCUAAUCUGAUUUCUGGAUUUCCAGUCAGAUAACUCUUCAUUUGAAUAGUUCCAUCAAUUUCAGAAGUUAAUAUAUAUCCCUGAAGAGCAUGAGCAACAUAAUCUUACAACAAAUGGAAAUAAGCUGAAAAUUACAUAAGUCAAAUUACACUAGAGAUCCUAAAAAGAAUGCAGAUUCAAGAACUACAUCACAGGCAAGUUACUCCUUUUACAGAAGAUUAGCUGGGUAAUGAUAAGCAUGAACACAACAGUUCACUGUGUGUGGCACAUAAAGCGUGAAACAUCAAACUACAGGAAAAUAACAAAUCCCAUAGCUGAGAACUAUAUAGUACAAAACUUUAACUUUCUUUUCCCCCUAGAUAUGUUGAUUUUUAGUUUUCUUCCUUUAUUGUCCAUUACUUUCAUUGAUAAACAAUCUGUAUUCAUCCAGAGUUUUGCUGGAAAUACUCAAAAUUGUCUUUCUUCUGAAAAUAAUACAAAAACACAUGAACUAGUAAAGUUUAUACUUGAUGAUUUUAAGCUUCCACUUUCUACUGUAAAAAGCAGAAAGACAAACUUGCUCUGGAUUCCUGAACAGAUACAGAAGCCACAAACUCCAGGCAUUUACACUUAAAUCCAUAUUCAUGGACAUGAACCUUCGCCUUCACUUCAUCUUGGUGAGGCAAUAAAGAGUCAUCAUAUUGCUCAAGUAUUGAAUUUCCCAAACAGCCAAUACUGGAAAUUAUCUGAAGGAAAUAUCUCAUUUAAAAUGGAUCUGAUCUUACGACUAAACAUUCUCUCCAUCCUGAAUGUAAUGUUAAUAUUUCCUCACCCUUCUCAUAAUUCUUGGCAUGGUCAUUCAUUUAACUAGACCCCCUGUUUAGAUUAACUUUUUUCUUGUUAACAGCAGGGCUGCACGAACACAGGCCCCACUGCCACAAAUUAUGACGUAGGCGGGCACCCCUCCCAAGUGCAAUGGAAGUCACCGACCUAGGCCAUGGGCCUUCUUGAUCACCCAUUAACCCCAUCCAGGUAAGUACCCAUUUAGAUUAACUUCCACAUGCAUAAGAACAUUAUAAUGGCAGCAAAUACAAAGGAUUACUUUGAGAUCCAAAAGGAGGAAGAAAACCACUCACGCUAGAGCUAAAAGUGACACUGAUUUUCUCAAUAAUGUCCACAAAUAUCUCCUCCCUCUUACGACCUCCUGGUUCAUUUGCCACCACAGACUUUGUAAUGGCUGUACCGGGCAUUCUUUUGCUCCCUUGCUGAAACCAUUAAGGUUAUAGGAGUUAAUGAAAGCAUAUAACAUCUUAGUACAAAUACAAAAGCCAUAGCAAAGUAUAAACUUGGUGUUGAUGUUCAUAAGAUAUGCAAUACCAUAAACAAGGAAGCAGGACCAAGAGGAGGCAAACGGGCAGCAUCAACCACAAUUGGCUCGUUAAAUACAUAAGACUUCAACACUUCAGUAGAUGUUGUUUGUACGUAUCCAAAAUCCUAGCAAGAAAGAAUAUGAAGCCAUGCUCCAAGUUAUAAGCUCCUGAAUAGCAUGAAAUGCAAAAAGGAAACGAAGGGAAUGCUACACGAGACUGUCAUUAACCACAUAAACAAGACCCCAUGUAAAUUUUAGAAAACAAAAAUUCCUAAAUAUAAAUGGAUAGCUAGAAUGGUGUGAAGUUAUGAACAACCAGACUCAGAAAUGUAAUAUAAGAAACAAAUACCAGUGAUAAAUAACUCCUAGCAAAUAUCAUCAUUGGAGAGACAAAGACUAAUAUGUAAUUCUUGGUGAUGACGAAACUCCAGCAGCAGAUAAUUACAUGAAUUCUGAGUUUCUUUGCGCUAACAGGCAGAGUAUACAUUACUAAGUACAUCCAUCAUCCUAGCACUUACAAUGACUUCGUCAAGCAACUCAUAGACGAGAACAAAAUUUUUGCGCAGUGAAUCUUCACUAAGCACACCAAGAUAAUCUUUGAUGACACGCGCAAUCCUCUGUAAAAGCUCCAAAACCAGAGAAGGCGAGGUAUUUGUUCUCAUGGUCGCAACAAACAGCAGACCAACCACCUUAACAUGGAAGUAGUUUACACCGUCCACGUUCUAUUCAUGUAAGAAAAGUAACAUCAUUAGCUUGCACUGUUCAGAAACAGUUAGACGUUAAUAACAAAAGCAAGCCAGAAAAAAACAUGAGAAGAAUGAUAACCAAGGUGCACAAAAAAAACAUAUAUGCCACCUGUAGGUAACAGAUAUCCAUCAUUUUCAGAAUUACAUUCUUCCAGUUGAAAUAACACUACUAGUGAAUAAACAAGGUCAGCAUUACUUUUUUUUCUUGUUAAAGGAGGUACUUUGUGCAUGUUGUUACCAGCCUUUGCUAAUUUCAGAAGCAAAAGUACUCUAAUACAGAAAAAGGAUUUCGUCUCUUGGGUCCCCCAGAGGUGUCAGAAUUUCUAAAGUACUCUAAUACAAUCCUUUAUACAGAUAAAUAUCACACUUACAAGCAGUUCCACACGGAAACAAAAUACCUACAAAGACAGGUGGAGCCUCCUCUUCGGCAUCUUCACUCCAAAACUUUACUUUGCGGAAGAAAAUCUCUGCACUCCCUUUUUGCACAUCACCACGAUCUGAAUUCAUUCACAUAAUCUUAGCAAGAAAGAAGUGACAAUCUGAUAAAUACAAUUUAAAAGUGCAAGUAUAUUCAUAUUUGUAACAUAUAAUAUCAGUCGCCCCUAUUACGUGAGUUCAGGCAUUCCCCAGGGUCUGGCCACAAUGAGCUUAAUUGUUUAUCAUUCGAUAAAAGUUCCAAAAGAGCUAACCAGAAAAAGAAUCAAAUUAAAUCAUGGAAUAGCGAAAAAAGAUAUAGUACUCUUUAACAAAUAGGAAAAAGUAGAUUCAUGGGAGUACUUAUUUGCUUACGCUAUUCAGUGAAUCAAGCAUUAACAUAGCAAAAUGAAAUAUCAAAAAAAUUACGAAACAAAGAACAAGGAAAUUUACGUCAGCAUUGAUGGACCUUGAAUUAUUGAAACCAAAUUCAAUUCCCAAUUGGCAUAACUUUUUUUAGGUAAGUACACAAUUAGCAUACAUACAGGCAGAAUCGCACUGAUUAGCAUCUACAAUCGAUAAAGAUAUGAAAAUUCGAAGCUAAAGAGUUAGUCAUGAGAUCUGCAACGAACAUUCUGAUUUCAAAGUUUUCGAGAGACGCAUGUAUAGAGAGAAUAGAGGGGGAACUCACAGUCGCGAAAGACGAUGUUAUCGCCUCUUUGCGAGAGGACGAAGAACUGAGAGAUCAUCACCACCAGUGCACCACCACCACCACUUGCUGGACGCUUCCGAUUGGGAGCUUCGAAGCUUUUCAGCUUUAAUUCCUAUCGGGUCGGGUCAACGUGAUUUCCUGUCUGCACUGAAUGGUACGGUGCUAGUGCUACUCAACUUAUAGGGACGACUGAGAAAUUCAGCGCGACGACGUCGUCUAUAUUUCUCUUUCUUUCUAUCUUUUUUCUAACUAGAGGAUUUGUGAGUAAAUUCAGCUAGACCAACGUAGCAUACAUUGCAUCACCAAAAAAGAUACAAUAAUGUUGAAUUAAUAAUAUAAUUUUUUCCAAAUGAUGGGCAUCGAGAUGGUCUCCCAAAAUCGCUCCCACGAGUUUAGCCACAUGGUAGCAGCGUUCCCUUGGGACCUUCAGGUCCCGGAUUUGAAACUGUGUUAUGGAGACGCCUGUGCACUUAUCGUGCCUUGGUCGGAUUGGACGCCGGACUCGGGCCGCAGGGGAUUAGUCGGACCCUGUAAGAAUUGAUCCGGACAUCCCUGUGUCGACCAAAAAAAAAAAAAAAAAAAAAAGAUGGUCUCCCAAAAUCUAAGAGGUAUUAUUUAAGAAUUUUUUUAAAAAAAAUUAUUAUAAUACUUUUGAGAUUUAAUGUAUAUAAGGUAAAAUGGUAAUUGAUAAAUGUAUAAAAAAAAAUCAUAAAAAAUGUAAAAUUAUGCUUCAGGAAACAGCAAUCGAAACAAGGCUUUAGCUCUGCCUCUUUUCAUGCUUUUAGGAAAGGCAUGAAAUUUCAUGGCUUGUAGAAAAAAAAUGUAAAAUAAUAGGAUCAGAUUUUAUUUUAGUUUAUAACUUUAAGAACCACUUUGAUACAUUUUUCAAAAUUUGGGGACUGAAAUUGUAGUUCUUCCUUUUUUUUAAAAUUAUUUUCUUUCCUUCGAAUUUGUCAUGGGUAGCGACACAAGGGAAAGUUCCAUGUUAAUGAUAAGGUUAAAAGAUGAAUCAAAUUAUACGAUACUCAAAUCAAGUUUAAUUUGGUAAAAGUUUGUUUGAAGUUAAUUGGUUAACUAGUUAAAUCAAACUUGAACAUUUUUUUUAGAUACGAUAACUUUCAAGUUCAAUAAUAAAAAAAAACUCGUUUAAACUCGAUUCGAUAAUUAAAUAUGUCAAAUUUAAAUAAAAUUUUAAAUUCGUUAAAAUAAUCAAACAACCAUGAACACUAAAGUAUUCGACUUGAUUAGAUUCGGUUAUAUCCCUAAUCAAUAAACCCCUAGUUGCCGUCCAUCUAUACCCAAAUUUUUGGAGACGGUUGGUUGCAGCAAUACAUUAGGCAAAAAGAGUCACCCUACUACCACAAGGUUAUUUAUUAAUGAGCCCGUCCAGGGACAAAAACCCCAAAUAUGCUAUGUGGAUUGGAAUUUAAUCUUACUGGUUUAAUCUUACUGGAAUUUAAUUUACAAAGGAAGCCAAUCAAAGUACAACGAAUUUGAAAAUCCAAACUGUGAAAAUGGAAAAGAAAUUAACAACAAACUAGUUCUAGAUAAGAAUGUAUGUAAAUUACAAGGGAGGAAAAAAGGACGUGGAAUAAAUAUUAGUAUACAACUACUUAAUACGAACAUUGGUUUCCUCUUUUUUUUUUUUGUUUUAUAUUUUUCUUAAUUUUGUCACAGGUUGAGUUUUCCUUUAACCGAUUUGUCAUCUGUGACAAACUCGCAUUGAUCAAUGAUCAAACAAUAUACUGAAAAGGGCCAUCACUAACUACAGGCGGGCCAAAACAAGCACCGGCCCCGUUCAAGGCCCGAAUCUAUCGGUCCAACUGGAAAUAAGCAGCUCGGGGCCCAACAACAACGAAGGAGUCAAGGCCCUGUUUUCCACCACCGCCCUCAACGCCUUCCUCAGCGACCCAACCUCCUCCUCCUCCUCCUCACCACCACCACCACCACCAACACCACAAUGAAGGCUUUGCUGGCACCAUUGCACCACCAAGACCGCCUUGGUCCGUCCUCAAUGGUACCCAUCUCAGCCUUGACCACCCUCCCUUCAACAGACUUAACCGCUUCCAUCAAAUCUGCAUUCAACCUCGGCCUGUCCUCACAGCAUAUCGUGGCUUUCACCAUCAACAGUUCUCCUUGAUCAACGCCAUGAUCUCCUCCUUCACCUUCAGAGUAGUAACUCACACUCACCUCAUCUUUCUCACCGGUAAAAACAAUGAAACAACUCCUUUUGCCACCAAUGCAGCACUCUUCUUGGCCAUCCUUGUUCAUUUCAACAUGGUCAGCCACCUUCUUCCUCAGCUCCUUUAGAUAUCGAACAGUUUCCAUAAGCACCCUUGGUUUAUCACUCUGCAAGACAACAAUAAACUAUUUUGCAUGAACACAAUUUCUUUGAAUUGUCCAAAAGUGAAUUUUCUAUGGUGCCGAAAACCAAUGAAAUGUGCAGAAUCAGUGUCCAAAAGGAUAGCACCGACAUUCCUUAGCAGUGAAAUGCUGAUGGAGCGAUUAGUACUCGACAAUAUACCAAUAAAUACUGAAUUCAGCGCUGAAACUGUUUGCAUGUGCAUAUAACAUGGAUUAAUCGUCUACACAAUAUACACUGUUAUCGUUAAAUAUAUGAUAACUAAUCUAAAUUUGUACUUGAAAUCCAAAUUAUAUAUAUAUAUAUAUCGCACAUUCAAUCGUGACGAUGCAUACACUGAUAAUUAUUUAACUCAUGGACACUGGCGAUAUGUAAAUUAAAUUUCUAACUUACACAUGUCGUGCUUUAGCCACAUUACUCGACAUUGUACCAGUAAUCUGUAACUUGCAAGUAUAUACAUGAUGUAGCUUCCAAAUGCUACAUUUAACAUUCUUGUUGAUUUUAAGACCGUCUAAAGACCAAAGUCUAUCAAACUACAUUUCGAAUAAAGAAUAUUGUGUGAUUAUGCCAUGCAUGGUGCUGGGAAAUCAUACAAACUUCCACUACUAUAUGUUAUUCUUGUUUCUACCGGCCCUAAAGAGAACAAAUUUAUGUAUUAGGAAAAAAAAGCCCUUACUUUAGGGAGAUUGGGGAAGAGUUUGCGGAGAGUAUUUAAGGUGGUUUGUUGAUUCUUUUCUACGAUAACGCUCCGCAAGGGCAUGCUUGUUAGCAGCAGCUUGUGGAUUUUUUUCAGGAGUCUUGAGGUCCCGAACCUGAGCUUAAAACUCCAGCACAUCUUUUUGUAUACUGCAACCCGUAGCAGCCUUGAACUUGAAGCAUUUUCAAUACCUCCUCUGUAAGUUCAAUUUCAACAAGUUAACAUAAAAGAAGAUAUAGAAUCAGUUGAAUAUGCAAGUAUAGAGGCUAAAGAAGAUUGGAAGAGAUUACCGAAAAAAAAGGAGACAAUUUAUGGUUAUUUAUUAUAGGGAUAUCAUUUUGUGUGCGUGUGUGUGUGUACUAGAGCAAAUGCUGGCAUUGAAAAUGAAGAUUUGAAGAUCUGUGGAGCGGUAAUGUUGAUCUGAUUCAUGAAAUCAAUCAACGAAAUCCAAGAAACUUACGUAGAGAGAUUGGAGAAUUGAUUGGUAAAGCUAUGGCAGCUGCUGUUUCUAAAAAAUGGACAACUACUGAUUGUGCUUUGGCCUUUGGUUGGUGAACUGAAGAGAGGUUUGGUUUUGGUUUUCUUACAGUUGGAGGUCAAAAGGUAAAUGGUUGCAUGGGAUGCCACAGGGUUUGCAGAACAAGAGAUAUAUAUAUAUAUAUGUGUGUGUAGCAUUCCUUGGUGUGUUAUGGUAUAUUAUGGAUUGAAUGCUUUUGGGAUUUUGAAGAAGAAAUGUACUCUUUAUUAUUCAAGUGUUAGACAGUUGUCACAUUAGGAGUUACUAGAACCUGCUGUUUUAACCAAAUGAGAGAAAUUAAUCUGCAUGAUUCACGUGAUAUAUAACAUUUACAAGUAGUCUGGCGUUUUACUCAUGGUAUCCAAAAAGUUAAUGUUCUUCGCAUUGAAAAGUUGACAGACAAAGUUAAUGUCAGUAUAUUACAAUGAUACCAACUUCCGUACUUCUCUUUCCUUGUCUUGGGGGUUUGGUCUGGUUUUUGUCAAGGAUUUUAGCUUAUUGUGUUGCAAUGGCCAAUGAUUUCACGAGAUUUUCUUCAUGGCAUCCCUUCAACAUGUUCCUCUGGAAGUCGUUUCUACAUUGCAGAUCCUGUAUACGAAUUCUUCAAACGAACAUUCAAAAGAAAAAAACCAUAUUAAAAACUGAGUCACUCUUUUUGCUCGCUAAAAGAUCAGAUUUUGAUAGUUUCUUUGUUAGAACAUACUACUAGUUUCUUGUGUAUUGUAAUGCAAAUGCUCAAAGAAAUAACCCUUAUACUCCCCCUUCCCCUCUAUCUUUAUUGGGCACAUUAUGCUGCUGAGAAAUCAAUAAUUGCAUCUUUCUGUUGUCACCUCUAACCUUAUGUGGAGUUGAGAAGAAACCAGAAGAUGAUUUAGGUUUUUCUUUGAGUGGGACCCUGCGACUUUGUCCUUUAAUUAAUUUGACAAGGAGAGAUCAUUCUCCGAUGGGCAGUGUUAGGCUAAUAGAGUGUACCACAUAGCUAGUAGUACCAGCCGGCAUAGUGAAAAAAAAAAAAAAAAACUAGAUCAGAUCGAUGAUGAAGGAUUCUACAGGACUUGUUCAGCUGAGGGGAGGCGCAAAUGCAUAAAGGAAGAAGAAAAAAAUCAGGGAAUUUUUCCUGUUUGCAGAUGAACAAAAAGAAGGGUUCAUGUUUUUAUCCAGUUUGCAGUAAGCAUAUUGUGACUGCACCAACAAAUGCUUUUGUUGCACCAAUGUCAACAGAGUACUCUGGUCUUAAAUAAAGCGCACUGUGCUCGCCUAAAUUAGCCUUUGGUAUCAGAACACAGUCCCACCAUUGAAGUUAACUAAUCAGUUGCUUCGUCUCUUCUCUCCCAGCAGGAAAACAGGCAUCAUCACCUUUGUUUUUUUUUUUUUUUUUUUCUUUCUUCUUCUCUGUUUCGCUUUCGUCAUCGUUUGGUUGUGAUGACUGUUGACAGCCCUUAUUCUCUUGACUAGAUGAAAGGUCGAGAAUGGAAUGGUGCUUAACAGCCUCUUCCAACUAUAGCCAACAAGAUUCAAGAAAACUGUAACUCCUUCAUGAGCAUAGUAGCAUUGUAAUAGCAUUGUA